CCUACGGGAGGCAGCAGUGGGGAAUUUUGGACAAUGGGCGAAAGCCUGAUCCAGCAAUGCCGCGUGUGGGAAGAAGGCCUUCGGGUUGUAAACCACUUUUGUACGGAACGAAACGGUCUGCUUUAAUAAAGUGGGCUAAUGACGGUACCGUAAGAAUAAGCACCGGCUAACUACGUGCCAGCAGCCGCGGUAAUACGUAGGGUGCGAGCGUUAAUCGGAAUUACUGGGCGUAAAGCGUGCGCAGGCGGUUAUAUAAGACAGUUGUGAAAUCCCCGGGCUCAACCUGGGAAUUGCAUCUGUGACUGUAUAGCUAGAGUACGGUAGAGGGGGAUGGAAUUCCGCGUGUAGCAGUGAAAUGCGUAGAUAUGCGGAGGAACACCGAUGGCGAAGGCAAUCCCCUGGACCUGUACUGACGCUCAUGCACGAAAGCGUGGGGAGCAAACAGGAUUAGAUACCCUGGUAGUCCACGCCCUAAACGAUGUCAACUGGUUGUUGGGUGCAUUAGUACUCAGUAACGAAGCUAACGCGUGAAGUUGACCGCCUGGGGAGUACGGCCGCAAGGUUGAAACUCAAAUGAAUUGACGGCUGAGACGNGCGAGACGACGACGAGGGAGAGG
rnacentral:rRNA from 1 species